rnacentral:lncRNA from 1 species
CACCAACUUCCCUCAUCAAUCUCAGCAAGAUUGAACACCCCAAAAGAUCCUCCAAAACCAACACAAUUUCUAGAACAACAUAGCACCAGCAAUGCUCUCAAAACUGUUCCACUUACACUCACAGCACUCACAUUCCCAUUCUUAUUGGAACAAAAGGAAAGGAAUAAGGAUCUGCCCUUCAAUUCUUGUUUCUGUAUGCAUAAUGAUCCAAUUUAGG